GUCUUUGCAGUUGGCAGUAUCAUAGCCAAUGAGGUUAAUCUGAGGCACGAUUAUUGCUAACUGAAACUUUCCCCAAUACCACAGUAUGCAUCUAACUGCUCAGUAAACUGUGUAUCUGUAUUGGCCUGCCUACUGGCG